rnacentral:lncRNA from 1 species
AAAUGCCCUCAUAAUAGAUGAUUUUUACAUUGGUACAAUGACAUGAAACAACUUGCAAUGGAUCGAAAUAAGCAAAUCCUUACAAAAUGAAGAGAAAGUAAAGAAGAUCCAUAAUUGAACAAAAAAAUAAUACUUCCACACCAUAUAUUAGUAACUAAGCAAAUACUUACAGCACAAAAAUAUUACAAAUAUGUCUCUACAUACAUACUGCCUAAUCAUGCCACAUCACCGGGACAGAGCUAGGAUUUCCAAAAUAGCAGAUAAAAUUAUAGUAUUUUGGUAUUUAGACAUAAAUUUGAACAGACAAAACUAUAUAAGAUAUAAAAAAGAUACAAAAUACAACCUAAAUACAAUAACUAUUUCAUUUUUUUUGCCCGGACAAUCACUAAGUCGAAUCCGGGCCUUGGCUCCGUCUCUGGAUAUGCAUGAGAAAAUCAAGAAGCUAAAAAAAGGAAAUAUAAAUCUAGAGAGAGAGAGAGAAUAAGUCAUGUAUCUAUCCCCUCAGAAGUCUCAACUAUGCUGUCCAAAGAUGGCUUCCAAGCCACACUACUUCUCUCUCUACUUGUUUGAAUCUCUUGCAAAACAUCCUCAAUUUUCUUACCUUGUGUUUGUUGAAGCUCACUCAUCAGCCAUUCUAGCUCCUCCUUGGUUAAAACUAUCUUUAUUCUCACCUUCUUGUUGCUCUCCGAUUCCGCCAUUUCCUCCUUGAUUUCCGCUGCUUCUUCGGAGCUGCUGUUUCUCAAUGUCUCAAUGCAAUUUCCCAUCACUUAGAUUGUUUAAUUUUUUUGGUUUGCAGGAAUUAAAGUGAAAUAUUUGGUUAGCUAGGUAGCUAUAUAUUAAAAUGUGAUGAAGAGAUAUAGAAUAAGUAGCUAAUAAUUGAAGAGAGUUGAUAGGAGUGGUUAAGAAGUGCAUGUGAGUGUGGGCUCACAAAGCUCUCCAGCUUCUUGAGGGGUAGAGACAGACCAUCCACUUUUCAAUCUCUUUGUCUUUUCCUUCACAAG